rnacentral:rRNA from 1 species
CAGCAGCCGCGGGAAUACGAAGGGGGCUAGCGUUGCUCGGAAUUACUGGGCGUAAAGGGAGCGUAGGCGGAUCGUUAAGUUGGGGGUGAAAGCCCGGGGCUCAACCUCGGAACUGCCUUCAAUACUGGCGAUCUUGAGUAUGAGAGAGGUGUGUGGAACUCCGAGUGUAGAGGUGAAAUUCGUAGAUAUUCGGAAGAACACCAGUGGCGAAGGCGGCUCACUGGCUCAUUCUAGACGCUGAGGUGCGAAAGCGUGGGGAGCAAACAGGAUUAGAUACCCCGGUAGUCCCUGUCUCUUAUAC